UCCGCAAAAUCCGAGCAUGGCGCACGGACCUGACUGUUAAUCAGAGAUUAGCUGAGUUCGAUUCUCAGAUGCGGAGCCA
rnacentral:tRNA from 1 species